rnacentral:rRNA from 3 species
CGGUGGUCCCACCUGACCCCAUGCCGAACUCAGAAGUGAAACGCUGUAGCGCCGAUGGUAGUGUGGGGUCUCCCCAUGCGAGAGUAGGGAACUGCCAGGC